CGAUUAAAGCUCUCUUCGGAGAGUGAUAAAGUGGCGCACGGGUGAGUAACACGUAAGUAAUCUACCCUCGGGUGGGGAAUAACUCAGGGAAACUUGAGCUAAUACCCGCAUAAUGCAGCGGCAUUGCAAGGUGACAGUUGUUAAAGAUUUAUUGCCUGGGGAGGAGCUUGCGGCAGAUUAGCUAGUUGGUAAGGUAAUGGCUUACCAAGGCGACGAUCUGUAGCCGGUCUAAGAGGACGGUCGGUCACACUGACACUGAAUAACGGGUCAGACUCCUACGGGAGGCAGCAGUCGGGAAUUUUGGGCACUGGGCGAAAGCCUGACCCAGCAACGCCGCGUGAAGGAUGAAGUAUUUCGGUAUGUAAACUUCGUAAGAAUAGGAAGAAUUAAUGACGGUACUAUUUGUAAGGUCCGGCUAACUACGUGCCAGCAGCCGCGGUAAUACGUAGGGACCAAGCGUUGUUCGGAUUUACUGGGCGUAAAGGGCGCGUAGGCGGCAUGACAAGUCACUUGUGAAAUCUCCGGGCUUAACUCGGAACGGCCAAGUGAUACUGUCGCGC
rnacentral:rRNA from 1 species